UCGAACGCGCGUAUAAGUACAUCCACACGGACGAAGCUACUUCUGACCGACGCCAGACGGAAGGCAAAAGUCAGAAGAAGAAACAGAAGAAAGGUGUAGCUCCAACCGAAUCAAGUAGGCCACCUCUCAAUAAGCGAGCUUCACCCAGUCUAAAGCCGAACUAUGACAGAUAUGACUCCUAUACUUCUCUCUCUGCUCCUCAUGCAUAGAUUCUCAU
rnacentral:lncRNA from 1 species